UGCCAGCGGUCCGGCCGGGAACUCAAAGGAGACUGCCAGUGAUAAACUGGAGGAAGGUGGGGAUGACGUCAAGUCAUCAUGGCCCUUACGACCAGGGCUACACACGUGCUACAAUGGCAUAUACAAAGAGAAGCGACCUCGCGAGAGCAAGCGGACCUCAUAAAGUAUGUCGUAGUCCGGAUUGGAGUCUGCAACUCGACUCCAUGAAGUCGGAAUCGCUAGUAAUCGUAGAUCAGAAUGCUACGGUGAAUACGUUCCCGGGCCUUGUACACACCGCCCGUCACACCAUGGGAGUGGGUUGCAAAAGAAGUAGGUAGCUUAACCUUCGGGAGGGCGCUUACCACUUUGUGAUUCAUGACUGGGGUGAAGUCGUAACAAGGUAACCGUAGGGGAACCUGCGGUUGGAUCACCUCCUU
rnacentral:rRNA from 1 species